AAUCAACGCUGGCGGCGUGCCUCAGACAUGCAAGUCGAACGCGAAAUUUCCCUUCGGGGAGAAAGUAGAGUGGCGCACGGGUGAGUAACACGUAGGUAAUUUGCCUUUGGGUGGGGAAUAACUCAGGGAAACUUGAGCUAAUACCGCAUAAUGCAGCGGCUCGACAUCGAGACAGUUGUUAAAGCGGGGGAUUGGAGCAAUCCGACCUCGCGCCUAAAGAGAAGCCUGCGGCAGAUUAGCUAGUUGGUAAGGUAAUGGCUUACCAAGGCGACGAUCUGUAACCGGCCUGAGAGGGCGGUCGGUCACACUGACACUGACAUACGGGUCAGACUCCUACGGGAGGCAGCAGUCGGGAAUUUUGGGCAAUGGGCGCAAGCCUGACCCAGCAACGCCGCGUGAAGGAUGAAAUUUUUCGGAAUGUAAACUUCGCAAGAACAGGAAGAAUAAGUGUGGGACAAUACCC
rnacentral:rRNA from 1 species